GAUGGUUACACACACACACACAAAAAAAGACCUUAGUUUGCUUAACCAGAAUCCAGGUAAAAAGUCCAACCGUGGCACAUGAUUGUAAUCCUAUGAUGAAGGAAUGACAGAUAAGACAGGAAGAUUCCUGGAACCACACUGGCCAGCUAGUCUAGAUUUCUCUGCAGAGCCCCAGGCUAACAAAAGACCCUAUCUCAAACAAAAAGAUGAAAGGUGCCUGAAGAAUGACACCACUCUGCCCUCCACACCUGCAUAUACAGAAAGAAGUAUUUCAUGGAGACUCGGGAAGGCAGUAAUGGGCAAGAUGCCAUCUUGCCAAAUGGGAAGUCUCCAGCAGCAUCAAUCCCAGCCUCUCCACAUAAGCUGUGAUAUCCUCAGAACAGCAUUCGCAAGAACAGUGGCAGCCAAAACACAGCACAGCAGGUUGCCAAGUCAGGAGAGGGGAGAGUGAAUGAAGUCAGCUGUGCUCAGCGGCUCUAACUGAGCCAGUCCUUCUGUUGCCUGCAGCAGGACCUGUAACCACGGUUCCCAGGGUGCAUCAGAAUUUUCUGACGUUUGUGUUAAUUAUAGAAUCUCACUGUAUGUCAAAAGCCUUCUACCUGUUUUUGGUUGGAUCUUCCGCUUAUGCACUUAUGUUAUCUUUUCCCUCAACUCCCAGGCCCAGUUAAUGAGGUCUAAGGGAAAUUUGUAAGCUAAGUAGCUCAAGUGACACUCAGCUGACACUCAGACUCGUCCCUCUCCGUGAAACACCAGACCUUCCCAACAUGGCAGCCAGUGGAGCCACUGCUUCCGAGCCUGGUGCUCGUCUUGAUUGGGGAUGCUGAGCUUGCAGAAUUGAAAGUGAUGAAAACUCUACAUCAAGAGUUCACGAGGUGCCAGCGAGACCAUUCCGUAGAUUAAGGGACUUGCUGCCAAGGACUGGAGUUUGACCCCUGGAUCCACAUGCGAAAGGAGAAGUCCUACAAGUUGUCCUCUGACCUUCAUACAUAUACCAUGUGAUAAGUACAUCCACACAC